rnacentral:misc_RNA from 1 species
AGAGAGCAUCGACCUUCCCCUUCUCCAGAAGCUGCUUCUGGUGUGAUCGUCUUCUUGCUCUAAAUUUCUCUCGCCCCCUACCUCUGCAAUUCCUCUAUCUCUCUGUUCAUAUAUAGCAGAAAUAAGCACGAUGACAGUCAUGACUCCUGCCCCCAUCGAUCAGCAAGACGACGAGGAGAUGCUGGUGCCACACUCAGAUUUGGCUGACAAUCACCAAUCCAUGGAAGUUGUUUCACAACCUGAAGCUGGAAAUACUGUGGAGAACCAACCACUGGAAGAUCCUCCUUCAUCAAGAUUCACAUGGAAAAUUGGGAACUUUACCAGAUUGAAUAUAAGGAAGCACUAUUCAGAUAUUUUUGUUGUUGGUGGUUAUAAAUGGCGUGUGCUUAUUUUUCCAAAAGGGAACAAUGUGGACUUUUUGUCAAUGUACCUAGAUGUUGCUGAUGCAGCUAAUUUGCCUUAUGGAUGGAGCAGAUAUGCACAGUUUAGUUUGGCAGUGGUUAAUCAAAUCAAUCCCAAAUAUACAAUUAGAAAAGAUACACAACACCAGUUCAAUGGACGAGAAAGUGAUUGGGGUUUCACAUCGUUCACUCCUCUUAGUGAACUAUAUGAUCCUAGUAGAGGGUAUCUUGUGAAUGAUACUCUUAUAGUUGAAGCUGAGGUUCUU